rnacentral:misc_RNA from 1 species
AUGAGGAUGAAGAUGAAAUUGGUGUAACUGUAAGAUGCUCAAAGGAAGGAAGUAGUAAUGUUCAAAAUAUCAGAAAAAGGCCAAGGACAAAGGGUCUUAUGAAUUUUAUAUUUUGCCCAAAAUGCUGAAAAAGUGGUGCAAAAUAGAAAAAAUUCAAAAAUGAAGCAAACCACUAUUAAUGAAGCAUGUAAAAAGGAAUUGAGAAAAAAAGCAUGUAAGGAUAUAG